CACCGCAGCUAGUCAAGUAUUCAGGAGUCCGGUCUCGACCUCCCCUUUUUUGGAAAUGGUUCAACCCUAAUCCUCCUUUCCACUCCAAAGAACUACAUGUGAUGAAGUCAUAGGAGGACCUGAGCAGCCAAGCUAUCCACACUGGACUUCACAUUGGCUUAGAGAUACAGCAAGAACAUAGCAAAAUGGACGCACAUAAAAAGACCAACAUUCCCAGUGGAGGGAAAAGUCUCUUGCAAUUCUUCUUGCAGUUUACAACAAAAUUGGGUGUGCAAAGAGUCAUUUUGCUGACCCAGUCAACAACACUGAACUAUACCCUUGCAAGGCAAAAAGCAACAUAUAGACAUUUAUGAAUAUAAGAAAAGUCACUUACCGCUGAU